rnacentral:rRNA from 1 species
GCUAACUGAAAUCACUAAUUGAUCUAAAUCAAUGUGAUAUAGUAAGGGAAAAUAAUGAUAUUAGCUUACUUAUAGUGUUGUCUAAUUCUGGUGCCAGAAGACUCGGUAAUACCAGUAACACGAACGUUAGUCAUCUUUAUCAGGCGUAAAGGGUUUGUAGGCAGCUUUUAAAAAAUUUUUUCUUUUCUCUCACUUAUAGAAUAAAAAAAUAAGGGUUAAAAAAGUUAAGUUUCUAUUUGAGAGCUAGAAUCAAAAAGAAGUUAAAAAGUAUAAUACUUAGAGAAGGGGUAAAAUCCUUAGAACCUAAGGGGAAUACUAAAGGUGUAAACAACUAACUAUAAAUGAUUGACGCUGAGAGACGAAGGUGAGGAUAGGAAAUAGGAUUAGAUACCCCGGUACCCCUCUCUGUAAACGAUGAAUGGUAGUUAUUAGUGUAUAGCUGGUGACGAUGUUAACGCGUUAACCAUUCCGCCUUGGGAGUACGACUGCAAAGUUGAAAACAAAAAAAUUAGUCGGUCUCGAAGCAAACGGAGUGAAGCAUGU